UGUGGAGCGGAGAUCGAGCAGUUGUCUCUGGAGAAAGAGCACCUGCAGGAGAGCGCUGAGAAACUGAGAGGUCGUUGUGAAGAGAUGGAAGAGCAGUGUGUGCAACAUGGGAGGAUGCACCAGCGCAUGAAGCAGAGACUGCAGCAGCUGGACCAGCACUGUCAGGCCAGUUCCCAGCAGGUGCUGCAGCUCCUCAGCAGACAGAAGCAGCACGUGCACGACACACACAACCUGUAAGCCCAGGUGCAUGUUGAGAAGAGAACGGGCACGCUGGCCGUGUGAGGGCCAUCUCCAUGAGGUCAUGUGAUCAGUCAUAGUGAGAACCAAUCAUAAUGUGACACAUUCCAUAUAACUACACAAUGAAAAGCAAUGAGAGGAAUUGUAAGUCAUAGAUCGCUAAUUUUAAAUAAAAAGCAAAU